GCCCGGCUAGCUCAAUCGGUAGAGCGUGAGACUCUUAAGGAUCUCCGAAAUCUCAAGGUUGUGGGUUCGACCCCCACGUCGGGCU